rnacentral:rRNA from 1 species
CUACGGUAGGCUGCAGUGGGGAAUAUUGGACAAUGGGCGAAAGCCUGAUCCAGCCAUGCCGCGUGUGUGAAGAAGGCCUUCGGGUUGUAAAGCACUUUCAGUGGGGAAGAAAGCCUUGGGGCUAAUACCCUCGAGGAAGGACAUCACCCACAGAAGAAGCACCGGCUAACUCCGUGCCAGCAGCCGCGGUAAUACGAAGGGUGCGAGCGUUAAUCGGAAUUACUGGGCGUAAAGCGCGCGUAGGCGGUCUGAUAAGCCGGUUGUGAAAGCCCCGGGCUCAACCUGGGAACGGCAUCCGGAACUGUCAGGCUAGAGUGCAGGAGAGGAAGGUAGAAUUCCCGGUGUAGCGGUGAAAUGCGUAGAGAUCGGGAGGAAUACCAGUGGCGAAGGCGGCCUUCUGGACUGACACUGACGCUGAGGUGCGAAAGCGUGGGUAGCAAACAGGAUUAGAUACCCUAGUAGUC